GACGAACCGUGCGAACGUUGUUCGGAUUUACUGGGCGUAAAGGGCGCGUAGGCGGUCAGCACAAGUCAGUUGUGAAAUCUCCGGGCUUAACUCGGAAAGGUCAACUGAUACUGUGCGACUAGAGUGCGGAAGGGGCAACUGGAAUUCUCGGUGUAGCGGUGAAAUGCGUAGAUAUCGAGAGGAACACCUGCGGCGAAGGCGGGUUGCUGGGCCGACACUGACGCUGAUGCGCGAAAGCCAGGGGAGCGAACGGG
rnacentral:rRNA from 1 species